rnacentral:misc_RNA from 1 species
UAGACCGUCUGAUCCACUAAGUGCAGAUCUACAGUGGGGAACUAUCGGGUAAGUUGUGUUUGUUCGGAGAAGACACCAGUCGUUGAUCUGAUGGUGGAAGAUUAAUGACAGAGAUAAGUAUUUCAUUCGAGGAGAACAGAGGCAUGGAUAACCCCGACCUCAAUCGAUGCCCAAUUGCGAUCAAGCGAUAGAGCAAGGACUAUUGGAUAUAUGAAGAGGAUCAAUGGCGAGGAUUUAAAAUAUCGCACCGCAAAACAUAGCAGUGUUGUAUCGGCGGAAAAUGGAUACAACAUGCAUUGUAGCAGACCUGAUAGAGUUAUAAAUGCAACAUAUGUGGCUUGAACUCCGAUUGCGUUUAUU